UAUAUUUUCAGGGCUACCAACACUCACACAUCUGACUGUCUUCACACGCUCUCAUGCCACACCUCUGAUUUCUAAGCUAAAUAAUUGCAAGUAGAACUGCCUUCAAAGCUCUGGUACCCACAAUGGGGAGGCUGCUGUACGUACACAUUUGAAAACCUCACAAACACCUUACAAUGAUCCUCUGUGUUCUGGUUUUUCCCAUCAACGUCAUCCUGUGUGUUUGGGGGGGCUAACAAAAUUGUGCUAUUUCUUCUCCCGUUACCCCUCCUGCUCUCCUGCACCUGUUCGUUUGCUCAACAAUCUGUGGUGUCCUGUCAACCAACAUGUCGCCGCCUACACAAUUUGUUUUGUCAGCUCACCUGUCAUUUCUAACAGAAGGUGAUUGACUGCGGAGACGGCGUCCACAUACCAGCGUUGGAUGACGAGGUCUAGAAGCAGACUCUUGUUCAUUAUUGUUUAUUUUUGUGCGACAACGUCCUCUGCUGCCCGCGGAUAAAAGAAGGAAGUGACGCCACCAUCGGCAUCAGCCUGAUGAUGUUUGCAGCCGCAAACGAAACGUUGCAGAGCUCAGCUGAUCUUCUGAUCUUCCUCCAGUGUUUCCAUCUUCUGUCCACCGUUGACAACAGUUUCUGUCUGCUGCUGAAGCCUAUGCAGAUCAUCUUCAGGAAAUAGGACUAGCAGAAUUAGAAGUGCGAUGGCUUCCCCAGGACCACCCAGUUGGAGGAACAGUUGCUGUAUUUGGGAUUUUUUCCACAACCUUUGAGGAAAUAAUACUGAGCUGUAAUGUGUGUAGCGUGAUGAAUUGUCCAUUUCUGACCUAAAAGGCCCUGCUCUGUUUUACUCUGCUCAAAGCAAAACCAGAAGUUUCUGACACAGAACUAAUCUGCAUGAGAUAUUGCUCAAGGUCUCAUGCUCUGUUCCUAAAUUGUUUCUUCCUUUCCAGCUCAAGAGAAGAAUGAAGACAAAGGACUCUUUCUUCUAAUAAAUCAGAAGAACUCUAUUUUUAAUAAAGCUAAUCAAACAAAGUGUUAGUCCAAUAAUAAAAUGUGAACCAAUCUGUGAAAUGACAAUGCUUAUGAUCAGUAGUUAUAAUAAGUUUAUAACUUUAAAUAUUUCCACUAGACAUUCUCAUCCACGGAAUGUUAAGAAUCACAUGACACAUUUCCUUUUGCUGAUCCAAUCAGAGCCUCCCAGAUCUGACGUGAGGUUUGGUUUUGGUGGUGCUUGGUAAAUCCCUUCUUGAUGUCCCUUUUUGAUUUGACCGUGAAUCAAAACAUCCAAAUUAUAAAACUAUGCCCACGUCAUCUUAAACUUCAGUUCAAGCGUUCUAGAGAAAUUGUCGGAGUGGCCAUUCCGUAACUUUCCUCUUCAGCCGAAAGAACCUAACGACAAGCUGGAUAAAAUCCGUUGCAUGUUCCACCUACUGCAACUGUUCCUUUCAGAAUAAAAGCUGAACCAUCACGACCCCCUUUUUGGGUCACACUAGAUGCCAAUAAAACUAUCGUGACCCGGAAGUAUCUCAAGACUGGUCUGGUCGGCAACCGCUGCUUUUCCUACCGGCUUCGGUUCCAGAGAAGGUCAAGCUGGACCUCGACGUUCCUGAUCUAACGGGACUUCCAAAAAGGGUACGUAGGCCGGCAGAAUGGCGUCUCAAUGCGUGUUAUAAAUCUCCAACCAAGCUUAGUGCGAAACAUCAUCUUCACUCCCAUCAGAACUAAUCGUUUCUCUGGAUUUGCUGGUUCUGAACAACAUUUCACACAUACACCAUCCUCAGUCUUACUUCACCUUAGUUACACCACACAUUUAGUGUAUAA